CGUGACGGCUUGAGCGCUGGGGUAACACCCGGUCUCAUUCCGAACCCGACGGUAAAGCCCAGCACAGGUCGUACGUGUACUGUCUUCCGCGAGGGGACGGGAAAUACGACUCGCUGUCACAC
rnacentral:rRNA from 1 species